rnacentral:rRNA from 1 species
CCUACGUGUGGCUGCAGUGAGGAAUAUUGGUCAAUGGGCGCGAGCCUGAACCAGCCAAGUAGCGUGAAGGAUGACUGCCCUACGGGUUGUAAACUUCUUUUAUACGGGAAUAAAGUGAGGCACGUGUGCCUGUUUGCAGGUACUUUAUGAAUAAGGACCGGCUAACUCCGUGCCAGCAGCCGCGGUAAUACGGAGGGUCCGAGCGUUAUCCGGAUUUAUUGGGUUUAAAGGGAGCGUAGACGGGUUUUUAAGUCAGUUGUGAAAGUUUGCGGCUCAACCGUAAAAGUGCAACUGAUACUGGCGGUCUUGAGUACAGUUGAGGCAGGCGGAAUUCGUGGUGUAGCGGUGAAAUGCUUAGAUAUCACGAAGAACCCCGAUUGCGAAGGCAGCCUACCGAACCGUUACUGACGCUGAAGCUCGAAAGUGUGGGUAUCAAACAGGAUUAGAUACCCGAGUAGUC